UACGUAGGGUGCAAGCGUUUGUCCGGAAUUAUUGGGCGUAAAGGGCUCGUAGGCGGUCUGUUGCGUCGGGAGUGAAAACCAGGUGCUUAACACCUGGCUUGCUUUCGAUACGGGCAGACUAGAGGUAUGCAGGGGAGAACGGAAUUCCUGGUGUAGCGGUGAAAUGCGCAGAUAUCAGGAGGAACACCGGUGGCGAAGGCGGUUCUCUGGGCAUGACCUGACGCUGAGGAGCGAAAGUGUGGGGAGCGAACAGG
rnacentral:rRNA from 1 species